UACGUAGGGCGCAAGCGUUGUCCGGAAUUAUUGGGCGUAAAGAGCUCGUAGGUGGCUUGUCGCGUCUGCCGUGAAAGCCCAUGGCUUAACUGUGGGUCUGCGGUGGAUACGGGCUGGCUAGAGGUAGGUAGGGGCAAGCGGAAUUCCAGGUGUAGCGGUGAAAUGCGUAGAUAUCUGGAGGAACACCGGUGGCGAAGGCGGCAUCCUGGACCGGUAUUGACGCUGAGGCGCGAAAGCCAGGGGAGCAAAGCGGGG
rnacentral:rRNA from 1 species